GAUCUCUCCUCCUAAAUUUUUGUUUGAUUUCUUCAAUCAAAAGCUCUCUACGACAAACUGCAAAUUCUUCUCCAGAAUCUGCGGCGGAUUCCCUUAUCGGGUAUUCGAUUCCAAAUCGAGACUCCUUCAUGACUCAACAAUUGUUAUAACUAUCUUCUUCUCUGUCUCUACCCACCUCAAGCUCCCUGUUAUCUCGGUGAGCACUUAACAUUUGAAGACGCUGAAUACGUUGUGGAAUUGUUCCAUCAAAUCUCAUGCUCUGAGGAUCUUCAGAAUAAGCUACAUAGUAAGCCAAUACACAUGCCUGUAGCCACGCCAAACCUACCCUUCCCUGAAAACACUCAAAACCAGUUAAUGAAGAGACAGCUCCAACAGAAACAGCACUGAGAAAACAGAAGGAGCUAGUGAGAUCCGAGUCAAUCAGUUUCUCCAACCCUGUUGUGCUUCUGAACUUCUUCCAGGUGGAAAUGCUGUGGCAAGUGAUAAUAUUUUAUCGGUGUACUCAAGCCUCGGAGUAAUCCAGCAACCAUAGAGGGACUGAGUAAUGGCGAAAAGGACAAACACUGCACCUAUACCUGCAUCUACCGCUGAGCCAAUCAAAACAAGCAAGAUUCCUACCGAGCAGGUGAGUAUUGGACUAAGCCAGAACGUUGCUUUGACUGCUCUUGAUGGAUUGUAGAUAAAGAUGCAUUGCCAUGCUAAAGAUGCAAUUCCUGAGACAGCAACAGAUGCUAGUAAAGGAGGGUACCAUUUCUUGAGGUGGAAAUGGUGUGUACUUGCUGAGAUGAGACCGCGAAUGGUGAGAACGAUCACCAAAAGUGAGAUUAAGGUUAGUUGUGAGAAGAGAAGACCCUUGAAAAGAGUUCUAAAGAGUUUUCCUGCUAUGGUUUGUUGUGUUGUUGGAGGUGGUCUACCUUGUUGUUCCUGCAAAAAAAAAAAAAAAAAAAAAAAUGGUGUCUCAUCAACAGGUUAUUCAAAGCUGGUUAAUGUGAAUUCGUUAUGAACAUGCAAGUAAAAAGCACCAUGAAGAAAACAAGAAGAGACAAAAGAGAAGCUGGGUCUUGGUUUUGUUCUUGAGUCAAGAAAUAGUGAUGGAAGUCAACGAGAGAGGAUCAAAACAGAUAGCAUAAAGUAGAAAGCAAAACAGAACCCAGAGAGAGAGAAGAUACAGAGAUCAAGGUGUUUCCUGAUUCUUGAUUCAAAAGAGAGAAAUACCUUGAAGGCGAUUGGAGAAGAAGAAGGAGGAAGAGGAGACAUUAUUCUUGGUUCUUGAAUCUGCACGCGAGAGGCAUGACCGUUGCUUGUUGGUGUAGGCAUAGAUGCGUUGUAUUUGCCAGGAGUGUUCCUUGAAUCCCAAGUUCCACUUAACCAUCUUCAUCAAUCAUCAUUCUUCUGUUGUAUAUAUAUAUGUAUAUAUACAUACAUCUUUGUCAAUAAGUUCUAUCAUUUUGUUGAUGUUUUAUUAAAUGCAUUUCGAAUAUUUAUUAUACAUACUUUAUUCCAUUACUUUGACU
rnacentral:lncRNA from 1 species